rnacentral:rRNA from 1 species
UACGUAGGGUGCAAGCGUUGUCCGGAAUUAUUGGGCGUAAAGAGCUCGUAGGCGGUUUGUCGCGUCCGCUGUGAAAAUCCAGGGCUUAACCCUGGACCUGCAGUGGGUACGGGCAGACUAGAGUGCGGUAGGGGAGAUCGGAAUUCCUGGUGUAGCGGUGAAAUGCGCAGAUAUCAGGAGGAACACCGGUGGCGAAGGCGGAUCUCUGGGCCGUAACUGACGCUGGAGGAGCGAAAGCAUGGGGAGCGAACAGG